UACGUAGGUGACCAGCGUUGUCCGGAUUUACUGGGCGUAAAGGGCGCGUAGGCGGCGAUCCAAGUUAGGCGUGAAAGCCCCGGGCUUAACCUGGGAAUUGCGCUUAAGACUGGACUGCUUGAGUGCGGGAGAGGUGAGUGGAAUUCCCAGUGUAGAGGUGAAAUUCGUAGAUAUUGGGAAGAACACCAGUGGCGAAGGCGGCUCACUGGCCCGCAACUGACGCUGAGGCGCGAAAGCGUGGGGAGCAAACAGG
rnacentral:rRNA from 1 species